rnacentral:lncRNA from 1 species
GGUUUAACGUUGAUGUGUUUAUCGUAGAUUCUAUGUCUUUGUAGUGUUGUGUUCCUAAGUUACCCUGUUGUGGGUUUUAGUUGCCUUUCCUUGGGCUUUCGGUAGUAUUAUGUUUGCAAGUAACCCCGAUGUGGGUUCUAGUUGCAUUUCCUUGGGCUCUUGAUUCUGGGGAUUUCAUGUUAUCCGCCAGCUUAGGAUCAAUCAUGUACUUGAACUUUGAAUAAAUAUAGUAGAUGAAAAAAAAAACAUUUCUGAAUAAUAUAGAGGAUUUAGGGCCGGCUUAGAUAGGCGGGCGAGUGGUACGACCGCCCCGGGCCCAAUCCGUUGUCCCACUAUUUUUUAAUAGAUAAGGGUCCGAUUUUUUUAAAAAAAUACAUGUAUUUUUAUAUUAAAAAUAAAAAAGGGGCCCAAAAAUUUUUUAUAUGAAUUUUUUUUUUUAUAUCUAUAGAUUUAUUUUUAAAAAUAUUUCUGGUAUUUUGAAAAAUAACAUAUAUCUAUCAGAUUUUUUAAAGAAAAUUAAUAAUUUGGAAAUUAAAAAAAAAUUUACCCUAGGGCCUAUGAUACCAUUGAACCGGCCCCGAGGGGAUGAGACUGAGGAGAAGAAACCAAAAUCUGAUCAGGGUGAGGACCAGGCCCGACCCUGACCUAAAGCCUAGCAAGCAAGGGCUUUGGACGCCAAAUUAUAUAAUACAUUUAAGGGCGCCAAAUUUUGUCAAAAUUGUCCUUAGUACAGUGGCGAAAGGUGUUAUCAAAUAUUCCAAUGAACCCGUGUUCGAAUCUGGCUUACGUAUUUAUGGGGCAAUUAUUUUUUCUUUGCUUUAGGCAUGAUAUGAAGCUGGGCCGGUACUGGUGAGUACAUAUUUCUAUGUGGAGGAGGCAA